GUUGUCCGGAAUUACUGGGCGUAAAGGAUGUGUAGGCGGAUAUUUAAGUGAGAUGUGAAUCCCCGAGCUCAACUUGGGGGCUGCAUUUCAAACUGGGUAUCUAGAGUGCAGGAGAGGAAAGCGGAAUUCCUAGUGUAGCGGUGAAAUGCGUAGAGAUUAGGAAGAACAUCAGUGGCGAAGGCGGCUUUCUGGACUGUAACUGACGCUGAGGCAUGAAAGCGUGGGGAGCAAACAGGAUUAGAUACCCUGGUAGUCCACGCCGUAAACGAUGAGUACUAGGUGUAGGAGGUAUCGACUCCUUCUGUGCCGCAGUUAACACAAUAAGUACUCCGCCUGGGAAGUACGGUCGCAAGAUUAAAACUCAAAGGAAUUGACGGGGGCCCGCACAAGCAGCGGAGCAUGUGGUUUAAUUCGAAGCAACGCGAAGAACCUUACCUAGACUUGACAUCCCCUGAAUAACGUAGAGAUACGCGAAGCCCUUCGGGGCAGGGAGACAGGUGGUGCAUGGUUGUCGUCAGCUCGUGUCGUGAGAUGUUGGGUUAAGUCCCGCAACGAGCGCAACCCUUAUCAUUAGUUGCUACCAUUUAGUUGAGCACUCUAGUGAGACUGCCCGGGUUAACCGGGAGGAAGGCGGGGAUGACGUCAAAUCAUCAUGCCCCUUAUGUCUAGGGCUACACACGUGCUACAAUGGUGAGAACAACGAGAUGCAAUACCGCGAGGUGGAGCAAAACUUUAAAACUCAUCUCAGUUCGGAUUGUAGGCUGAAACUCGCCUACAUGAAGUUGGAGUUGCUAGUAAUCGCGAAUCAGAAUGUCGCGGUGAAUACGUUCCCGGGCCUUGUACACACCGCCCGUCACACCAUGAGAGCUGGUAACACCCGAAGUCCGUGAGGUAACCUUUAUUGGGGCCAGCGGCCGAAGGUGGGAUUAGUGAUUGGGGUGAAGUCGUAACAAGGUAACCGUAAA
rnacentral:rRNA from 1 species